GGCAGUCUUCACCAUUAACUCCUGUGUGUUCCUGGUCUUCUUGCUUGACCUCUCAGUUAUUACCAGAGAGUGGCAGCUACUCAUCUCAAAAGAUUGCUAAUAAGCCCACUCGGAGCAGAGUAAGGUCCAGGCACUACUUUAAGGGGUUCAUUCAAUUUUGAAACCACCUGAGGAGGUAGGUACCAUCACCCCUGCCUUACAUGAGGUGACUGAGGAUAGAGAGGUUAAGCAACUAGCCCAAGGUCACACAGCCAGUAAUAGCGAGCUGGGAUUCCAAUCCAGGGACUGUGGCUCCAGAGUCCAGGCUCUCUGAAGUUCGAAUGAGAUGACGGAUCUUGAAGUGUUCUACAAACUGUCUAGUGGUCACAUUUGACCUGCUGUUUUCUUGAAGACCUGCAUACAUCAACGGUGAGAGUUCAAGGCCAAUUUUCCUACAGAUCCAAAUGUUCAACAAGUUUACACCAUUUCCAUUUUUUUUGCACCUGAAGACGUUAUUGUGAUUUUUAGGUCACACUAUUUCAAAUCCACAGGAUUAAAAUGCACCUUCCUCCUGAAAAGUGGAGACUACUCCCUGACUCUCUCUCAGUGGUUCCAAAGGGCUCCUGGC